rfam:Schistosoma mansoni strain Puerto Rico chromosome 4, complete genome
ACUCAGCUGACGAGUCCCAAAUAAGACGAAAGGUGUGUCAUGGAU